UAAGUUGUUGUGGUUAAAAGCUCGUAGUCGAAUCUUGGGCCUGGCUGGCCGGUCCGCCUCACCGCGUGUACUGGUCCGGCCGGGUCUUUCACUCUGCGGAACCACAUGCCCUUCAGUGGGUGUGGCGGGGAAGCAGGACUUUUACUUUGAAAAAAUUAGAGUGCUCUAAGCAGGCCAAUGCUCGAAUACAUUAGCAUGGAAUAAUAAAAUAGGACGCGCGGUUCUAUUUUGUUGGUUUCUAGGACCGCCGUAAUGAUGAAUAGGGACAGUCGGGGGCAUCAGUAUUCAGUUGUCAGAGGUGAAAUUCUUGGAUUUAUUGAAGACUAACUACUGCGAAAGCAUUUGCCAAGGAUGUUUUCAUUAAUCAGGAGCGAAAGUUAGGGGAUCGAAGACGAUCAGAUACCGUCGUAGUCUUAACCAUAAACUAUGCCGACUAGGGAUCGGACGGUGUUAUUUCUUGACCCGUUCGGCACCUU
rnacentral:rRNA from 1 species